CGGUUUCCCCUUCCCUUAGACAUGCACCUUGCACCUUUUGGGCAGUUACGCGCAAGAAAAAAAUGACAUAAGUUAACAGCGGCUACUGUCAAGGUGUGGUGAGAAAAGGGGAAUGAGAGAACCAAGGGCUCAAGCGGAAGGAGAGUGGCUUGGGCAUGUUCUUUCCAAUUUUACUCGCGAUCCCAGACGGACGUCUGAGGAAAAUACUCAAGUAGUGCAGUGAAAGGAAAAAUUCUAACCUCGACCGUAAAUACCGCGUGUCCAUCGUGGCUAAGAUCUAGUCAAAAGAUCAGCCGACCAUUCCUACGUUUAUUAAGCGAAGGCCGAACCCAUCGGGUUUGGCCGUACGUAAUACCGUACGAAACGCCGGUCGUAGUGCCGUAAGCCGUACCCGCUACAGUCUCGUCACCUUACCACACAUAUAAAUACCCAGCGUCCCGAUCGACUACAGUAUGUG